UUGUUUCUCCAGCAAGUGCAUUGAAAUUGGAAUGAGAAACAGAAGAUUAAGAUGUCCCCUGCACAAGGAUGGCAUACAAAUGCAUGGAGCAUUCCAUAAAAUG